GAGUUUGAUCUUGGCUCAGGAUGAACGCUGGCGGCAUGCCUAAUACAUGCAAGUCGAACGAAGUCUUUAGGAAGCUUGCUUCCAAAGAGACUUAGUGGCGAACGGGUGAGUAACACGUAGGUAACCUGCCCAUGUGCCCGGGAUAACUGCUGGAAACGGUAGCUAAAACCGGAUAGGUAUGAGGGAGGCAUCUUCCUCAUAUUAAAGCACCUUCGGGUGUGAACAUGGAUGGACCUGCGGCGCAUUAGCUGGUUGGUGAGGUAACGGCCCACCAAGGCGAUGAUGCGUAGCCGACCUGAGAGGGUGAACGGCCACAUUGGGACUGAGACACGGCCCAAACUCCUACGGGAGGCAGCAGUAGGGAAUCUUCCACAAUGGACGAAAGUCUGAUGGAGCAACGCCGCGUGAGUGAAGAAGUAUUUC
rnacentral:rRNA from 1 species